ACUGAAAGGGGACCAGCCCAGCGCAUAACCUCGCGGUCCGUAGCCGGCCGUCGAGGGGUGUUGCGUUUCGGUGGAUCCGUACCGCUCGAGCUGCUCACCGCCUAAGUCAUUGCUUGAAUGCAGCCCCAAGGAGGGUGGUAGGCCCGUGUGGCGGCGCCUGUAAAAAGGUCCGAGGCAGCUUGGGCGGAGGGGUCUUUACCGUAGAGUCGGGUUGCUUAGUACUGCAGCCCUAAGUAGGUGGUAAACUCCAUCUAAGGCUAAAUACUACCACGAGUCCGAUAUUUGACAAGUACCGUGAGGGAAAGCUGAAAAGGACUCUGAAGAGAGAGUUCAACAGGACGUGAAACCAUUAGAAGCUCAAACGGGUGGAACCGUGAAGGUCGAAAGAGGGGAUUCAGCCGGCCGGUCUUCGGCGGUGGGAGCGGUACAAGUUGCGUUGCAGAUGAGAGGACCCGGCGUGAACGUGAGUUGCCGUGGCCCCGCGCCCACUGUCCGGAGCCCUGCUGGCUUAGUUCUCCCUCGAGUAGAGGUCGUCGCGACCCGCUGGGCGGGCCCCGAGGGCCGCGCCGGACUGGUAGCCUGCACUUCGGUGAAGGUGAUGACCGGCUGCGGUGCUGACUGGGCUUGCCCGGCGGUCACUGCAAGGAGGCCGCUGUGAGCGGCCUCUCGCGACGUGACAGGGAUUGGUAAUCCACCCGACCCGUCUUGAAACACGGACCAAGGAGUCCAACAUGUGCGCGAGUCUAAGGGUGUACUAAACCCGGAGGCGAAAUGAAAGUGAGCCCCUUGCGGGCAGGCCGAUCCCCUGCUUGCGCCGGCCUGGCGGCCGUGCGGCGUGAGUUGAUUUCCGCUGCGCGUGCCGUCGGUGCCGGCGUGGGUGGCCGCUUGGUUUUUCCUCGCGGAGAUGGGGCGCAGGCCGAGGACUUGCCAUUGUGCGGCGCGGGGAAACGGGGUGCUAUUAUGCGCCCUUAUCCCGAAGUCCGUCGGCAAGUACCUGAGAGCGCAGCCGUUGGGACCCGAAAGAUGGUGAACUAUGCCUGGCGAGGACGAAGCCAGAGGAAACUCUGGUGGAGGUCCGAAGCAGUUCUGACGUGCAAAUCGAUUGUCAGAGCUGGGUAUAGGGGCGAAAGACUAAUCGAACCAUCUAGUAGCUGGUUCCCUCCGAAGUUUCCCUCAGGAUAGCUGGCAUUCAGCAGGAUGAGUUUCAUCCGGUAAAGCGAAUGAUUAGAGGCCUUGGUGGUGCAAUGCCGUCAACCUAUUCUCAAACUUUAAAUGGGUGAGACGUGGAGCUUGCUUGAAACGUGAAGCUCUAUGAUGCAAGAAUCAGAAUGCCUAGUGGGCCACUUUUGGUAAGCAGAACUGGCGCUGUGGAUGAACCAAACGUACGAGUUAAGGGGCCUAAACGAAUGCUAAUGUAGACACUACGAAAAGGUGUUGGUUGCUAUAGACAGCAGGGCGGUGGCCAUGGAAGUUGGAAUCCGCUAAGGAGUGUGUAACAACUCACCUGCCGAAGCAACUAGCCCUUAAAAUGGUAUGGCGCUCAAGCAUUCUCCCGAUACUCGGCCGCCGGGGCAUUGGUCUGGCCCCUUGUGGGCCAUCGAAGCCCCGGCGAGUAGGAGGGUCGCAGCGGUGAGCGUCGAAGGGACUCGGCGUGAGCCGGCCUGGAGCCGCCGCUGGUGCAGAUCUUGGUGGUAGUAGCAAAUAAUCAAGAGAGAGCCUCGUUGGCUGAUGUGGAGAAGGGUUCCAUGUCAACAUCAGUUGAACAUGGGUGAGUCAGGCCUAAGCCCAAGGAUAAAUUUCCUGCUUCCCACGUGUUCCCAGGCCUCCAAACGGACGGCUAGAGACGACGUCCUGGAGGGCCCUUAGCCCAAUCGCGAGAUGGAGAGAUCUAGCGGUGGUCGGUUUGGCGAGUGGUCGUAGAGCUGGCCGACGGUGGUCGUAUCACAAGCGGCAGCGGGUGAACAUGCUGACCCUUCGGGUGUUGCUGUGGCUGGCCAGAGAGAAAUGGCUGGCCCGGUCCCCGUUUGGUCGCCGCCCGCUGCUGCGUCGGCCUCCGUGGUGCCGCUCUGCUGCUCUGCGGCCGCCGACGCCGCUUCCUCGCCUGGGCGGGGCCGACAGAAUGCCAAAGCUGGAAGGGAUGCAGUGGCGAAAGGGAAUACGGUAAUGAUUCCGUGACCUGUGUUCGGACGGGCCCGGUCUCUGCCUUCGCGGUUGAGGCCGGGUCAAGUGUGUGACGAUUCCUGGCAACGGGAUCUGGCUUGUGUCCACUGGCGUCUGGUCCGGGGGAGAGUUUUCUUUUCUGUUUUAGGCCCCGUGAUCCCCGGAAAUCCUAUGA
rnacentral:rRNA from 1 species